AGGCAAGCGAGUUUAGCCAAGCGAGUACAGGCAAGCGAGUCAAGCUAAGCGAGUUUAGGUUUUAUGCAAGCGAGUUUAGGUAAGAGAGUCAAGUUACUUUAGGCCUCACUUUAUUUGCGGUUAAAUUGCGGCAUUAGGUUUAGAAAGAAGGUUAAGAUCCAGGCUCAGGUUUGCUUCCAGCCUCGUCCCUCUAGUCGCUCCCUAUAAAGAGGGUUCCCAG